GCCUAAUGUUUCUGCUGUCUCUUGCUUACCAUUGUUCACACAUGGAUUGGGUGUAGAUGGUUAAAAAUCCCCUCAGGUCUGUGCUGCCCCAGCGUUGGCAUGAGCAGAGAGCAGAGGAGGGUGACUCAUGAUGUCACAAGGGCAGCUGUGACUCAGGCAGCAGUUGAGUCCCUUCUAAGGAAAAGGCAGAGUGCUGUCUUUUAUUUUUUUCUGCCGUAAAUGCUCAAAGGCCUGGCUUCAAAGCUGAAACACCAGAAUCACUGGUCCAUUGACAUAAAGGUGUAUAAUGAAUUUUGAUGUCAGACAGGUGAAAGGCGGCUGUUACCAAGGGGGCCCGUUCUGCUGAUCUUACCUCCCAAGACCUAUCUUGACAGCACGAGGUCCUGAGUCGGGCCAGUACCAAGAGUCAUGGGCAGCGCUCUCAGAAUGUUAAUUACAGGAAGAAAACCAUGGUCUCUCCUGACUGGCCACAGAGAAUUCUCGAGGCUGUGUUCGCGGGCCUUGGAGACGGCGCUGACACAGAUGAAGGCAGGCAGUCACACAGCUCUGGAGGAGGUAGAGGAGCUGAGGGGCGGCCAAAGAGAAAAUGUCUUCUCCCACACUAGCCAGCAUAGGUACCCAGCCACACGCUAUGUGUGGAGUCUUCGGAUCCCCACUGGUGCUCCACAAAUAAUCCAGUCUAGACUUGAAAUCAUAGGGACAGGAAUCUACUACACCUCAUUGUAAUGAAACCACUUUUGAGGGGGAAUCCUGCACACUCUUGAACAUUUUACGAACUGGGAAGGAAAAACCGUGGAGUUUGUGGUGAGGAGCACAGGCUGGACAUUAAGCAAUCAGCCUUCUCCCCUCACUUCCCAGGACACUGGAGCUGGGGCAGUGAGACCAGACAAAAUACAAUCUGUCAUCCA